rnacentral:rRNA from 1 species
UACGGAGGGGGCUAGCGUUGUUCGGAAUCACUGGGCGUAAAGGGCGUCUAGGCGGACUGGAAAGUCAGGGGUGAAAUCCCGGGGCUCAACCCCGGAACUGCCUUUGAAACUCCCAGUCUUGAGGUCGAGAGAGGUGAGUGGAAUUCCGAGUGUAGAGGUGAAAUUCGUAGAUAUUCGGAGGAACACCAGUGGCGAAGGCGGCUCACUGGCUCGAUGCUGACGCUGAGGUGCGAAAGCGUGGGGAGCAAACAGG